GGACAAAUUUCGGUGUUUGACAUUUCAAAUUGCAAGUAAUGCACAAUGCCUGCUAAUAUCUACCGGAUAGGCGGUUAUGGUCUUCGACCUAACCGUUCCACAAAUUACAAUUUUCGCUCGCUACAUGUCUGUCAAUCUCCGCUGGUGUUAAUACAAUUGGUUUGUUCGUCUUCAAUAAAUUCUCCACUUUCUUGCUGACGUCGACCAUACGCUCUACAAAAUGUUUCGCCGCGGCCGGUUCGUCUACUGUCCCUCCGUGUUACAAUCGGUUCGGUAGGCGCAUCGAAUUCUUCCAAUAAUUCUGUAGGUACGGCAUUUCCGUUUUCCCGUAACUCAUCGCUCAACGAUUCUGGAUCGUUGCUAUUCCGUGGCACGAGAGAAGUAACCCGUGUCCUGACCGAAUCGCGUGCCACUUCACGCAUCUCCCACUCAUUUGGCAUACCGUCGUUGCACGGUCACAUCACAAUCGUUAACGGUCGGAACGAUGUACAGCGUGUAUCAUUAGUCAUUACGUACGCUUGAUGCAGCGCGUCGACGCGUCUGUGCCACUACCUCUAUGAACCGCGCGAUCGCUUUCACUCCGUUGACUGUUUAAUGAUUUGUUCUGCACGUGAUAUACGAUAUUAUAAAUAACAUUAUAAUAUAAUCACUCUGCGUAUCGCUUAUUUCACGCUGUACGCACGCCGCAUCGCGAACUGUAGGGGAAACGGAGCCUAGUCACACGCUCCCUGCCGUCAGUCUGCACGUGCGAAACGGGUUACUUCUUUCGUGGCGCGGAGAUUAUCCUAUGUCGUCCAUAUCGCUAUCGGGGAAAAUCGGCGAAGGUACAUUCGUACGUGUUCAUUUUUAAAAAAACGAUAUGCAAACGAACGAAUUGAAAUAACAAGUGACAACUACGUAACAAAAAAUUACGAGACUUUGAAAAAACGGUGGACGCGAGAGAAAACAACGAGACGCUCGGACGACGGUGUGUAUAGU